GGUUACGAAAUGACCAACAAUGAGCGGUUACGAAAUGAUCAUAAUUCAUUUGACAGGGCUUUUACCAGCUGUUUGUCUGUGCAGAGCGGGAAUUUUACCUGGGAUUGGCUGGACCGAAAGUCAAAGUCCCCGCUAUUAGCAGGACCUUGGGGGCCCAUGCUGCAAUUGACUGUUGCAUUAUUUGGAUUUUUUCUUAACUUUACGACACGCCCCCCUACAGUAUUUUAUAGUCAAGUUUAGUAAUAUUUUUUUACAGAAAUUGGAUAACUUAACAAGUAAAGUAAACUGUACUGAGCUUUUAAACAAACCUACAUACUUAUAAAUCAAAAUUGAUAUUUUAGGGUCUACACUGAAUAAACCCAAAAUGUUAGUUUUGAUUUGCUAAAUUCGAACAGUAUUUAGUCAAUCCACACAAAAUUUACAGGAUCAUCAGAUAACAAAUUUUCUAAAAAUUCUCCGUUUGCCAAAUAGGGAAGACAGGAUUAAGUGGGAUUAAAAGGUUGCUAUCUGUGACCAAAAAAAUACUGUUCAAAAUUGUGAGUAUUCAUUUAUCUUUCGUUCAGUAAAGAGCAUGCAAUGGCAUAGUGGUUGGAUUAGAUAAUCUGACAGCGGUGCUGGACGUCAGGAGUUCAAAUAUUGUUGUGAGUUCAAUGUACCAAAAGAAUACCUUUGGAAUACACUACCGGGUAUUAUCUAUAAAAAUGGCAGAGCAAAUUGCCCAUAUUGUAGUAAUGUCUUAGAUCCAGCUUGGAUAACUUGGACACAGUAAGCGGUUCACACCCAGGGAAAUUCUCAGAUAAAACAGCGCCUAUAAACUUGAACAUUACAUUUUUCAUUGAGACAAUUAAAGAAAAAACAUUAUUGCUGAUCUUCUGAAAACAAAUCCUCUAACAUUCAAAUAUUUAAUUUGUUGGAUGAACUAAGGUUUAUAUUGAUAAGAGAUUGCUUCAGUUGGAUUUAAACUAAUCACCAACAAAAAUAUAUGCAUUUAAAUCACACAAUGUAAACAACUGCGCCACAGAUCUUAUCUGUAUGUUUUGGGUUUUUAAAAUUUAGCAGUUAAAUAUAGAUUAGCAUACUGGUAGGUCUGGUUGGUCUGUUGCUUUAGUUGCUAAGUAAACAUAAUGUCAGUGAUUUCAUCACUAUUUCUAUUAAAAUAUCAGUUUUCCUCUUCAGGGCUUCUCACAUUUGCACCAUUUUUUUACCAUUUGAAUCAUAAAAAGAUAACAAACACAUGAACUUAACACUUUGUGAAUAUUUAAGGAAUGUAAGGGGUCAGAUUUCAGAUUGCUCAUUAUUGCUGGAACACUAAAUACUUUAUUUGAUUGUGUACACUGCACUUUCUUGUUAAGCAUUCAUCCAAAUCAUUUGGGUAAAUUUUGGCAGAAAAACUGCUUUUGGAUUUAUACUGGUCAUCAAAACCGGCACUGACAAAACAUAAGACGUGUUUAAUUAAUGUGCGGGAAAGAGGUUUAAAGGUGUCGGCCCACAACGAAAGGCUUGCGGGUUGCAGUACCCCUUUAAGUAGUUCUUGAAAAAAAUGAUUCUCUGAGGUAGCAUUUGAUUAUGUGUACAUUGUAUUCUUGUAUGUAUUUUCAAGUUAACACAUGAUUUAUAUAAGGUUUGUAUAAUUUUAGUUUUAUUUAAGUUUUAAAAUUUUGAUAUUUUUUUUAAGAUUUGCCUGCCCCUGUCUGAACACUUAAAUUCUUGGUCUUUGGUCUAUUGUCUGCAACUUCAAAACACACUUUUUGGAACAGGACACAUUUUCCUGAUAUUUUAUCCAGUUUGACUGCAAUAUAAGUUGUAUUUAUCAAUAAUUUAAGUAAAAAAUGACAUUUAUAUUUCCAUAAUUACCUGGUAGUUAUUUGUUAAUUUGUUUUAAUUCAUGGAUAGGUUUAUUGCGAGUGUCAUGGAAAGCUGGAACUUUUCAGUACACAACAUGCAAACUGAGAAUGAACUGUGUGUGCCGGCUUUGUGAACAAAAACGCAAGGCGGCUAUGAUACACUGUGUUGUGUGUGGAUAAGAAAUGCAGAGUGGUACCACCAAUUACCUAAGUCACCAUUCCCCUAACAGACAAAAGGCUCAUGGGGACAGUUCCUGCAGUUUACAGCAAAUUGUAGCCCUACAAACUUCAGAUACUGCCAAGCUUGGGUGCACUGGGCCGGUUAUCCAGCCGUGUGGAAUCAACAUCUCCAGCUGAACUUGGGCCGGGAAUUAUAUAAGAAUCCUUAGCAGCAUGAGUGCCAGCCAGUCAUUGCUGUUCUUUGCAUUGCUGAGGAGGACAGUCCUGCCAACAUAACAGUUUGUUCAAUAACAGGAGACAAACAGAAACACAGA